GUAUCACUUAGGAAAUAAUAAGGAGCUCUGUCCAAAAACAGGGAGCACAUAGUGUUGCAUGCCAGAGCAAACGCGGCCCCGAACCAUUGCCUGGCCUCUGCCAGUAGGCUGCAGGCACUGAAGCGGGUUGCACAGUG
ensembl:snoRNA